rnacentral:rRNA from 1 species
AAUUUGGAGAGUUUGAUCCUGGCUCAGAACGAACGCUGGCGGCGUGCCUAACACAUGCAAGUCGAGCGAGAAAGUCCCGGCAACGGGAUGAGUAAAGCGGCGAACGGGUGAGUAACGCGUAGGUAAUCUGUCCUUCGGAUCGGGAUAACCUGCUGAAAAGUGGGCUAAUACCGGGUAAUGUUCUUAUGGGGAUCCCGUGAGAACCAAAGGGGGCGAGCGUAAGCA